GCCCGCCAGAGAAUUACAAGCAAACGCUUCAAACCCAAAGGACUUGACGGUGCCCUAUACCAACCUAGAGGAGCCUGUCCUAUAAUCGAUACUCCACGCUAAACCUCACCCCCCCUUGAAUAAACAGUCUAUAUACCGCCGUCGCCAGCCCGCCUGAUGACAGACCCCCCACAGCUGGCAAAAUAGUUAAACACUAGCACGUCAGGUCAAGGUGUAGCUUAUGCGGGGGCAAGAGAUGGGCUACAUUUCCAACCCUAGGAGACUACCAACCGCAACAUGAAAUAUAAGCCAAAAGGCGGAUUUAGUAGUAAGAGCAGACAAGAAAUGCUGCCCUGAA
rnacentral:rRNA from 1 species